AAAAGCUUAUUUUCUAUGCAAGUGACAAGUGAUUAUCUAUAUUUCUGGUUUCACAUAGCAUAUUUACAUCUUUACUUCAUAGACAUACAUGCAUAUGUGCAUGCAGAUUUGUUAUGUCCUCAAGACUAAGUAGAUGGGCACAACUUCAGUUUGGGUUUUAAGUUAGACCAUGGAAAGAUGUAAUAAACUCAUCAAAUUUCAUCAGUCGGAUUAGAUUGGUCUUAUCUGACUUCUGUUUUGUAUGUUCCAUGGGAUAAAAACAGAACAGACUCUUUUUAUUAGAGUGCUCCUCUUGAUAGAAAACCUUGAACAUUUGAUUCGAGUUAUAUGAUGAAAUAGAGUAGGGCACUUCAAUAUGAAGCAAAUAUUGGAUAGAGUAGAAAAUUAAUAUGCAACGAGAAGUGGUUUAUGGUUUUCUUGAACUUGGGUGUUAUUGUAUCUAUCAAAGUUUCUUUUCCAUUAAUGUUUUAUCGUUUUUAAAUCAGUAGUUUUAACAUAUAUUGUUUCAUAUCAGAGUAAAGCCUCAGAGCUGUUUCUUUUUAAAUUUUAAAGUUGAAUUUCCAUAUUGUACAUAUGUCUAGCCUCUUAGCUAAAUUGAGUUUCAUUGCUAUAUUUAUAUUCACUCUUUUAUCAUCUUUUUAAAAUUAUCUUAGAUUAAACCUGAAGAAAGGACAGUGCAUUGGAUAACUGAAGGCAGCAUAAAACUUUUUCAGAAUAUAAUAUCAACCUUUCUCUCUAAAUAUAUUUUGCCAUGUUGUUUUAAUCAGCAAUUAUGAUAUCCUAACUUGUAUCUGUCAAUUCAUAAGUGGCUUUUAAUAUCAACAAAAAAUUAAAUGUCAAACGUUUACAAGACAAAAUAUAGAUGUUGCUAAGUGUGCCAUUAUAUUUUUUCUAACAUUUCUGCUAAAGAAAAUCUUUUUGGUGGCUACUUUGUCAGAAUUUGCCAUGUUUCUUUCUGGGUGGCAACAAUAAAGCAAUUGCUACAAGUUUUUUGGAUUUGGCUGUUGAAACUAAGUGUGCCAUUAUAUUUUUUCUAAAAGAUUUACUUAAAAUAAUUGUAGUGGCAUCUUUGGAUAAGUGUUUUUAAUAGGUGUCUGGGUAUAGCGCAGCAAGGCCCGAGCACCUCGCACGAUGUCUGGACAACGCGCUUCACUAAAGCGUCGCCUAGGCACUUGCUUGAGCCCAGGCGUCAGGCGCCUCGUGCGAGUGCCCGAUCUAAUGCCAGCAAAUCAAACCAAAUUGGGAACUCUGGUUUAAUUGAACAGUAACUUAGUUGGUUCGAUUGAAUCUCAUGUUCUCUCCACCAUCGAGUGAUAGGUCUGAAGUUUCCUCCACCGCCAACAAACACAUCCGAAGCUUCCUCUGCCCUCGACAUUGUCGUCCAUAGCAUCUUCCGCCAUCAUCGCUAUCGUUUGAAGCUUCGUCCGUCGUUGCUGCCUUCGUGCGCAACUCCCUCCGUCGCCGAGGGACAGGUCCGAAGCUUCCUUCGUCGUCGAUGGACAUAUCCGAAGCUUACUCUGCCCCCGAUGCUGUCGUUUGCAAGAAGCUGCAUUCUUGGCCCUGAUGGGCAAGUUGAUUUUAUCUUAUGUCAUGAUUUUAUUUUAUAAUUAGUUGACCUUACUAUUUGAUUUAGUCUUUUCUGUGAAAAAUAAGCAGAAAAGAAGUCCCACAGGUAAAUAAAUAUGAUGGUAUAUAUUGCACGUGGGACUUUCAAAUCUUCAGUUUGAGGCUUAAUUUUGCAGAAGUUAUUAUACCACAAAGCAUCAAUUCUUUUGAACAAUGUCAGAUAUUAAUGAACUCAACUGCUAGACUGUGCAGCCCACAAAGUUGAAUUUCAGAACAAAGCUACAUGCAGGAUUGCCCAAUGGGAUCUGAUAGGGAAAACACUUCAACUCUGAAAAGGAUGCAAUCCACAAAACGUUUUAGGAUGAUUUAUCAACCUAAAUUGCAUUAUCUCAAACAAUAAGGUGAUGUUUUUUGUUGGAACAUAAUUUGAUUAUUGCAUGUCAGGUUGGCUGUUAUAUUGUCGAUUAAUAAUUUAUGUUGCAUCCUUUUUUCUCAUUUAUGUUAAUUGCACUAACUAUGCUUCAAAUUGUAGAUGGAACAUAUAUGAACUACCAAGCAUGUCGUAGUUGUGUAAGAUUGUUUAACACUUUUCUGAUAAGAGAUAUUUCCAAGAAUACACUACCAAUACGGAAAUGAUUUGGAGGCAGUAGGAUAUGUUUCUUCUGAAUGGCCAAACAACUCUGUAUUGAGAUCCUAUUUCUUGAUUCCUGGAGUUGGAUAUCAACUUCAUGUUGACAAUAUGAAGCAUUUCUUUUUUUUGCUUUCAAGGAUGAACUGAACUUAGCAGACAGGUUAGACAAUCAUUAAUUAUCCAUGGUACUCCGGUUAUGGAAAAAUUGAUAUGAGGUCUUGCAUAAUUAUAGAAAUACUUUUUAUUAGAAGUCUAAUCCUCUACCAUAGUUCAAGUUUGAGCAUUUCUUAGAAGAGGCCUAUGCCAAAAAUCAAAUGACUAAGUUUAUGUUGUCUGUGCUAAAACUACAUUUGACAGCUUUGGAAGCAGGGAACUACUCAGAUGAAGCCAUGGGAGGCUUUUAUCAAGCUGAACAGAUUCCAGGUUCCUGAAGGUGACUAUCAGCAAACGCACAUUUCAAUUGUAGCAUGAGUCACAGCACAGAGAGAACAAUUUGUGUUUUAUUCAGAUCCAUCAAUCUUUUUUUACUAAUUGGCUAACUUGAACUGUGAAUGAUGGUCAUAAGAUUUCAUGCGCCCUAUUCAGAAUCCCUUCAUCAAUGAACCAAGAUCGUGUUGCAAGUCUCUCUGGCCUGUUACUGAUCAAUUCAUGGGUGAUGGCAUCAAAGCAUGCCACAUGACCUGGCAGAAGUUUCCUGCAUCAUGUCCUGAGGACUGGAUUUUUUUAUGACAGUGAAGAGUGGGUAUACAUGUCAUGUAAGUCUCUUCCAUGCACUGCAACAAAUAUGCUUGGCAGUAGCCUUGUGGAACCCAGAGAGGCACACACAUAGUUUGCCUCCUUCAAGCAUAUGCAUCAUGUAUCAACCAAAAGUUCAAUGUGUUCCAUCAUGUCAUGUUUCCUUGAGACUUGAAAGAACAAUGUAAGGUAAUGAGUUUUUGUGCAUGGUUUCAGUAAAUGUUACAACUGUUUAUAUGUGGAAUACAUGCAUCAGGAUGUUUCAGGCCUGCAUGCUGGCCCUAU